GCAAGUCGAGGGGCGAGCACAAGGAGCAAUCUGAGGUGGCGACCGGCGCACGGGUGAGUAACACGUAUGCAACCUGCCUGUAAGCGGGGAAUAACCCGUUGAAAGACGGACUAAUACCGCAUAAUACUAAAUUACUGCAUGGUAAUUUAUUUAAACAUUUAUGGCUUACAGAUGGGCAUGCGCAUGAUUAGCUAGUUGGAGAGGUAACGGCUCCCCAAGGCAACGAUCAUUAGGGGUUCUGAGAGGAAGGUCCCCCACACUGGUACUGAGGCACGGACCAGACUCCUACGGGAGGCAGCAGUGAGGAAUAUUGGUCAAUGGACGAGAGUCUGAACCAGCCAAGUCGCGUGCAGGAAGAAUGUCCUAUUGGAUUGUAAACUGCUUUUGCAGGGGGAAUAAAGUGCAUCACGUGUGAUGUUUUGUAUGUACUCUGCGAAUAAGGAUCGGCUAACUCCGUGCCAGCAGCAGC
rnacentral:rRNA from 1 species